UACGUAGGGGGCAAGCGUUGUCCGGAAUCAUUGGGCGUAAAGCGUGUGUAGGCGGCCCGUUAAGUGUCUUGUGAAAUCCCCCGGCUCAACCGGGGAACUGCUGGGCAUACUGGCGGGCUUGGGUCGCUCAGGGGCAGACGGAACAGGCGGUGGAGCGGUGAAAUGCGUAGAUAUCGCCUGGAACGCCGAAGGUGAAAACAGUCUGCUGGGGGCGCACCGACGCUGAGACACGAAAGCCAGGGGAGCGAACGGG
rnacentral:rRNA from 1 species